AGUGAACGCUGGCGGUAGGCCUAACACAUGCAAGUCGAACGGCAGCACAGGAGAGCUUGCUCUCUGGGUGGCGAGUGGCGGACGGGUGAGGAAUACAUCGGAAUCUACCUUUUCGUGGGGGAUAACGUAGGGAAACUUACGCUAAUACCGCAUACGACCUACGGGUGAAAGUGGGGGACCGCAAGGCCUCACGCGAUUAGAUGAGCCGAUGUCCGAUUAGCUAGUUGGCGGGGUAAUGGCCCACCAAGGCGACGAUCGGUAGCUGGUCUGAGAGGAUGAUCAGCCACACUGGAACUGAGACACGGUCCAGACUCCUACGGGAGGCAGCAGUGGGGAAUAUUGGACAAUGGGCGCAAGCCUGAUCCAGCCAUACCGCGUGGGUGAAGAAGGCCUUCGGGUUGUAAAGCCCUUUUGUUGGGAAAGAAAUCCUGUCGAUUAAUACUCGGUGGGGAUGACGGUACCCAAAGAAUAAGCACCGGCUAACUCUGUGCCAGCAGCCGCCGUAAAAC
rnacentral:rRNA from 1 species